CUCCUAAAUACACAGCUCCCGCUACAUUUUCCUCUCUUUCACAACUCCUUCUCACUGUAUAUUCUAAAUUAUCAUCUGUCUGUGAUUUAAUGGCUCAAUUACUGAGUCCUGUAUGUACAGAUUUACUCAAAUUCCAAAACCCUAAUAAUCAAUUCUUCAGUUCAAUUAAACCAUGGCGAAUGCUAACAAAGAUCAAUAACAACCAUUUGACAACAUUUAGCGGUCUAAAACGACGUGAUUCUAGAAUUAGAGCUGUUGCUGAAGAAUCCUUUUCUAGUGAUGCAAUUGCAGAUGAUUAUUAUGCCGUUUUAGGACUGCUACCAGAUGCAACACCAGAGCAAAUAAAGAAAGCUUAUUACAGUUGCAUGAAAGCUUGCCAUCCAGAUUUGAGUGGAAAUGAUCCAGAAACGACCAAUUUCUGCAUGUUUAUCAACGAAGUCUACACGGUACUUAGUGAUCCUGUGCAGCGAAUGGUUUAUGAUGAGAUCCAUGGAUAUGCAUUGUCAGCAGUAAAUCCUUUCUUGGAUGACACUAGUGUUAAAGAUCAUGCGUUUGUGGAUGAGUUUAGUUGCAUAGGUUGUAAAAAUUGCGCCAAUGUUGCCCCCGAUGUAUUUAAUAUAGAAGAAGAAUUUGGAAGAGCUAGAGUCUGCAACCAAUCCGGCAAUAUUGACUUGGUUAACCAAGCUAUUGAAAGUUGCCCUGUUGACUGUAUUCAUUGGACUUCUGCUGCACAAGUAUCUUUACUCGAAGAUGAAAUGCGCCUGGUUGAAAGAGUAACUGUUGCACUGAUGCUUGCUGGAAUGGGAACUUCCUCCGAUGUUUUCAGAAUGGCAAACAACCGUUGGGAAAAACGCCAAUCCAAAGUCUUGUUUCCCCAAUUUGCAUGCAGGAAAAGGCUAGAAUAAGGAUGAUGCAGCAAAAAGAUGCAAAUAAAUCUGAAACAUACUGGAAUGACCUUUGGGGAAAGCCUGCAACCUAUGAAACUUCAGCCGAAGAAGUCCAGGAGAGAGCAAAGCGAGCUGCUGCAGCAGCUAGAAGAUGGAGGGAGUAUUCUAGGAAGGGCGCUGAUAGGCCUCCAACAUAUAAAUUGCCAGAAUCAAUCAACAAGGAAUAAAACCCAGUAACAAUUCCAACACCCUUAUAUAGUUUAUCUGUACAAAAAUCUAGUAGUAAAUCAUGUAUCUCAUUGUAAUAUAUGUAGGAUCCGUAUCUCGUCUUGUUUACUUAGAUGGUCGCUUAUAAUACAUUGCAAUGAAAUCAAAUAGAGAAAAUAAUUGUGAA